rnacentral:misc_RNA from 1 species
AAGUCACUUAGCAUCUCAUAUUGUGCCAUAUCGAGAUCCUGGCCAUUAUGUAACUAAAGAAUCGGAAAAGACACAGAAAGCUUUCGUGAGCAGAUCAUUUCUAGCUGCAAAAGAAGAAGUGCCUAGACUGGGAAUGUUGGAGCAUGAACAUGGGAGAUUGGUCACUCCAGAAUUAAGGCAAAAUGACUCAUUCUUUCUGGAUGCACCCUCCACAAGCAAAAAACUUCUUCCAAAAAUGGGUGGAGAAGAGUUCCAGAAAAAUCCAGGUAGUUCCUUUGUCAGGUUGUUAAAAAAUGAACCCGGUCCUUCCCAUGUAACUGAACCAAAAGAGUUACAAAAGCUACCACAUCCAUUGCGUGAUGUAGAGACAAUGAGAACAAGCAAUACCGUGGACUCUGUAGUGGGAAUGACUGGAUAUCGUCCCUGCGUUUCUCAGACCAUCCAUAGUAUGUUAAUCACAAAAGGAGCGGAUGCUGGUCUGUUUGAAGGAAACAAUGUAAUCGGUAAUUCAAGGAUGUGGAAUAAAAUUAAUGGGAAAGCAUCAUUAAGUAGCCGUGAUAAGCAAUCUAAAUCUUUUGUUCAUUAUAAGGGAGGAAUGCAGCUUCAAAUUCAAAAUUGCUUCACAGGCAGUGAAAGAAAAGACAAUAUAGAAGACAGAAAGCGUUCUGAAUUUGUGUUAAAGAAUGAAUCUUCAGCUGAAACUGAUACCAUGGACAUGGAUGUGUUUCAGGAGAAGAACCAGCUUUGUGGUACAAGUUCUUCUAUAGCAAAGAAGGUGAACAAAAUGGACCAAACUUUGCCCCGUCAACUUGCACUUGAAGGCUCCAGGAAGGAAGCUGGACACAAACAGCUCAAGUUGGAUAUAAACUUAGAGCUCCCUGCUCCAACUGAUAA